UACGUAGGGUGCAAGCGUUAAUCGGAAUUACUGGGCGUAAAGCGUGCGCAGGCGGUUUUGUAAGUCAGAUGUGAAAUCCCCGGGCUUAACCUGGGAACUGCGUUUGAAACUACAAGGCUAGAGUGUGACAGAGGGGGGUGGAAUUCCACGUGUAGCAGUGAAAUGCGUAGAGAUGUGGAGGAACACCGAUGGCGAAGGCAGCCCCCUGGGUUAACACUGACGCUCAGGCACGAAAGCUAGGGGAGCGAAUGGG
rnacentral:rRNA from 1 species